rnacentral:rRNA from 1 species
UACGAACCGUCCAAACGUUAUUCGGAAUCAUUGGGCUUAAAGGGUACGUAGGCGGCGCUGUCAGUCGGGUGUGAAAUCCCUCGGCUCAACCGAGGAACUGCGCCCGAUACUGCAACGCUUGAGGGAGACAGAGGUAAGCGGAACUGAUGGUGGAGCGGUGAAAUGCGUUGAUAUCAUCAGGAACACCAGUGGCGAAAGCGGCUUACUGGGUCUCUUCUGACGCUGAGGUACGAAAGCUAGGGGAGCGAACGGG